AAAAACUUAGGUUAACUAAACCAAGGGCCUUCAAAACCCUAAACAAGGACAUUCCCCUUAGUUUUUG
rnacentral:tRNA from 1 species